AGUGAACGCUGGCGGUAGGCCUAACACAUGCAAGUCGAACGGCAGCACAGUAAGAGCUUGCUCUUACGGGUGGCGAGUGGCGGACGGGUGAGGAAUACAUCGGAAUCUACUUUUUCGUGGGGGAUAACGUAGGGAAACUUACGCUAAUACCGCAUACGACCUACGGGUGAAAGCAGGGGAUCUUCGGACCUUGCGCGAUUGAAUGAGCCGAUGUCGGAUUAGCUAGUUGGCGGGGUAAAGGCCCACCAAGGCGACGAUCCGUAGCUGGUCUGAGAGGAUGAAGGGAGAAAAGGGAACUGAGAAACGGUGAAGGAGCCUCUGGGAGGCAGAAGUAGGGAGUAUGCGAGAAUGGGCGAAAGCAUGACGGAGCAACGACGAGUGAGGGAUGAAAGUCUUCGGAUCGUACAGAUCUGCUAUCGGGGAAGAAAAAAUGUGUACGUACAUAUGUACGGCGUGACGGUACCUAAUAAGAAAGCAACGGCUAACUACGUG
rnacentral:rRNA from 1 species